rnacentral:snRNA from 1 species
UCUUAUUCUCUAAAGUCACAU